UACAGAGGGGGCAAGCGUUGUUCGGAAUUACUGGGCGUAAAGGGCGCGUAGGCGGCCUGCUAAGUCGAACGUGAAAUCCCCGGGCUCAACCCGGGAACUGCGUCCGAUACUGGCAGGCUUGAAUCCGGGAGAGGGAUGCGGAAUUCCAGGUGUAGCGGUGAAAUGACGUAGAUAUCUGGAGGAACACCGGUGGCGAAGGCGGCAUCCUGGACCGGCAUUGACGCUGAGGCGCGAAAGCCAGGGGAGCAAACGGGG
rnacentral:rRNA from 1 species